GCUCCAUCUGGAGCUGUAAGGUGUUGAUUUUGUGGAUAGGUGAUGUUCUGGAUAUAUGUCGUGUGGUUAGUAUGACAAGAGUCAGCAUAAAUAGAAUCUUUAAGAAUA